CGGUGGAGCAUGUGGUUUAAUUCGAAGCAACGCGAAGAACCUUACCAGGCCUUGACAUGCAGAGAACUUUCCAGAGAUGGAUUGGUGCCUUCGGGAACUCUGACACAGGUGCUGCAUGGCCGUCGUCAGCUCGUGUCGUGAGAUGUUGGGUUAAGUCCCGUAACGAGCGCAACCCUUGUCCUUAGUUACCAGCACGUUAUGGUGGGCACUCUAAGGAGACUGCCGGUGACAAACCGGAGGAAGGUGGGGAUGACGUCAAGUCAUCAUGGCCCUUACGGCCUGGGCUACACACGUGCUACAAUGGUCGGUACAAAGGGUUGCCAAGCCGCGAGGUGGAGCUAAUCCCAUAAAACCGAUCGUAGUCCGGAUCGCAGUCUGCAACUCGACUGCGUGAAGUCGGAAUCGCUAGUAAUCGUGAAUCAGAAUGUCACGGUGAAUACGUUCCCGGGCCUU
rnacentral:rRNA from 1 species